rnacentral:rRNA from 1 species
UGCGCGCAGUUUUUGGCUGUGCAACGGUAACAUAAUCAUUAGUCUUUUAAUUGAAGCCUUGUAUGAAUGCUUGGACGAAGUAUUACCUGUUUCAUAUAAAUUUAUAAUAAGUUUUUAUAUGGUAGUAAGAAAGCUAAAAUAUAAUUAAAAGGCGAGAAGACCCUAUAAAUCUUUAUAUUUAAAUUUAAUUUAACUUUUUAAAUUUAAUUUGAGUAAAUUAAAUUUAAAUAUUUUAUUGGGGUGAUAUUAAAAUUUAUAAAACUUUUAAUUUUAAUUUACAUUGAUUUAUGUUUUAUUGAUCCAUUAUUAAUGAUUAUAAGAAUAAGUUACUUUAGGGAUAACAGCGUAAUUUUUUUGGAGAGUUCUUAUUAAUAAAAAAGUUUGCGACCUCGAUGUUGGAUUAAGAAAUAAAUUUAGGUGUAGAAGCUUAAAAAUUAAGUCUGUUCGACUUUUAAAUUCUUACAUGAUCUGAGUUCAGACCGGCGUAAGCCAGGUUGGUUUCUAUCUUUAAUUAUUUAUAAUAUUUUAGUACGAAAGGACCAAAUAUUAGAUUUAUUAUAAUUUUUUUUUCUGAAAAUAAUUAAUU